rnacentral:rRNA from 1 species
UACGUAGGGUGCAAGCGUUGUCCGGAAUUAUUGGGCGUAAAGAGCUCGUAGGCGGUUUGUCGCGUCGAAUGUGAAAACCCGGGGCUCAACCCCGGGCCUGCAUUCGAUACGGGCAGACUAGAGUUCGGUAGGGGAGUCUGGAAUUCUUGGUGUAGCGGUGAAAUGCGCAGAUAUCAGGAGGAACACCGGUGGCGAAGGCGGGUCUCUGGGCCGAUACUGACGCUGAGGAGCGAAAGCGUGGGGAGCGAACAGG